AGCGAACGCUGGCGGCAGGCUUAACACAUGCAAGUCGAGCGGGCAUCCUUGUGGUGUCAGCGGCAGACGGGUGAGUAACGCGUGGGAACGUGCCCUUCGGUUCGGAAUAACUCAGGGAAACUUGAGCUAAUACCGGAUACGUGCGAGAGCAGAAAGGUUUAUCUGCCGAAGGAUCGGCCCGCGUCUGAUUAGCUAGUUGGUGAGGUUACGGCUCACCAAGGCGACGAUCAGUAGCUGGUCUGAGAGGAUGAUCAGCCACACUGGGACUGAGACACGGCCCAGACUCCUACGGGAGGCAGCAGUGGGGAAUAUUGGACAAUGGGGGCAACCCUGAUCCAGCCAUGCCGCGUGAGUGAUGACGGCCUUAGGGUUGUAAAGCUCUUUUCGCCGGGACGAUAAUGACGGUACCGGAGGAAUAAGCCCCGGCUAACUUCGUG
rnacentral:rRNA from 1 species